GCGCCCGUAGCUCAGCUGGAUAGAGCAACAGCCUUCUAAGCUGUGGGUCGUAGGUUCGAAUCCUACUGGGCGCG
rnacentral:tRNA from 1 species